rnacentral:rRNA from 1 species
AUUGAACGCUGGCGGCAGGCUUAACACAUGCAAGUCGAGCGGAGAUGAGGUGCUUGCACCUUAUCUUAGCGGCGGACGGGUGAGUAAUGCUUAGGAAUCUGCCUAUUAGUGGGGGACAACAUUCCGAAAGGAAUGCUAAUACCGCAUACGUCCUACGGGAGAAAGCAGGGGAUCUUCGGACCUUGCGCUAAUAGAUGAGCCUAAGUCGGAUUAGCUAGUUGGUGGGGUAAAGGCCUGCCAAGGCGACGAUCUGUAGCGGGUCUGAGAGGAUAAUCCGCCACACUGGGACUGAGACACGGCCCAGACGCCUACGGGAGGCAGCAGUGGGGAAUAUUGGACAAUGGGGGGAACCCUGAUCCAGCCAUGCCGCGUGUGUGAAGAAGGCCUUAUGGUUGUAAAGCACUUUAAGCGAGGAGGAGGCUACUGAGACUAAUACUCUUGGAUAGUGGACGUUACUCGCAGAAUAAGCACCGGCUAACUCUGUGCCAGCCGCCGCAGUAACAC